rnacentral:rRNA from 1 species
CACUUAUAGAUAUUAUUAUAAGCACAACCUGCUCAAUGAAAAUUUAAAUAGCCGCAGUCUCCUGUGCUAAGGUAGCAUAAUCAUUUGUCUUUUAAUUAAAGACUCGUAUGAAGGGUUUCACAUUUAAUACCUGUUUCAAUUUAUUAAUAUUAAUCUAUUUUAAAUAUAAAAAAAUAUUUAUAAAAGAAAAAGACGAUAAGACCCUAUCAAACUUCAACUAAAGUUCAGCUGGGGCAGCUGAAUAAUCAUCCUUUAUUUACUCUUUAAUAUUAAAAAUAAUUAGACCUACUAUAAGUAAAAUCUAGAUUAAGUUACUGUAGGGAUAACAGCGCAAUAAUCUUCCAAAGCUCAUAUAAAAAAGAAAGAUUGCGACCUCGAUGUUGAAUUAUUUCACCUUUUAGAUGCAACCAUCUAAUAAGUAGGUCUGUUCGACCUUUAAAAAUUUACG